AUUGACUGAGUGUAUUAAAUACCUAGGAUAUUAUAAAAUCUAUUAUUAACAUAUAAUAAAAAAUAUUGGUAAUAGUCUUUUAUAGAUGCUGAUUGUAAAUAAGUGAAAGAGACAUAUAGAACAACGAUUAAAUGUAGUUACACUAUAUAGCUUGCCAGAAACUCAGGUGUUUCUCUAUUUUCAAUUCUAUCUGAUGUAUGAAAGUAUGGGUAUCGAUAAGGAGUAGUUUCCCUAGUAGUCCGUACUGUAAAAAAUGAAUACUUUAUGAUCAAUAAGAUCAGGAAUAGCUAACGCAAAAGUAUUCUGCUUGGGGAGUAUUAUCGCAAGAUUAAAACUUAACUGAAUUGGCGGGAAUUUGUUCGAACGGUGGAACAUGUGGUUUAAUGCGAUAAUCCACGCAAAAUCUUACCAAUGUUUCAGGCUUUAUUAGUAGUAUAAUUAACGUUAUAGCUAAAAAAUGAAGUACGGAAUUGCAUGGCUGUCGUCAGUUCGUGCUGUGAAGUUUUGGAUUAAGUUCUUUUUAACGAAUGCAACCCUAUAAGUAAGUUUUUAUAAUAUAUUAACUAAUUAUAUAAUAUAUUCUUAUUUAAUCUGCAAGCGAAAUAGCUGAUAACUUUAUUAAUUAUUUGCAUGCAGGGGUUAUAGGCUGAAGUCAAGUCCCUAUGGUCUUUAUACGUUGGGCUACACACGUGUUACAAGGGUGAUUACAAAGAGACGCAACGGUGAAAUCUCUAGCAAAUCUCUAAAAUCCACCUUAGUUCAGAUUGUUUUAUGAAAAUCUAAAACAUGAAGAUGAAAUCGUUAGUAAUUGUAAAUUAUUAUGUUACAGUGAAAUAAUAGUCAAAUUUUGCACACACCGCCCAUCACGCUCGGAAAGCCGGUAUUAGUGGGAGAUUUAAAAGCCUCUACACAAGAGUUAGUGAGUAAUGAUCUAAUUGUAAAACUGUUAUUAUUUAAUGGUGUAAAUGAGAAGUAGUAUCAAAUCUA
rnacentral:rRNA from 1 species